GACGAACCGUGCGAACGUUAUUCGGAAUCACUGGGCUUAAAGCGCGUGUAGGCGGGCCGGCACGUCGGUCGCUGAAAUCCCCCGGCUCAACCGGGGAAGGGGCGCCGAUACGACCGGCCUGGAGGGACGUAGGGGGGGCUGGAACUUCCGGUGGAGCGGUGAAAUGCGUUGAGAUCGGAAGGAACUCCGGUGGCGAAGGCGAGGUGCUGGACCCUUUCUGACGCUGAGGCGCGAAAGCCAGGGGAGCGAACGGG
rnacentral:rRNA from 1 species